rnacentral:rRNA from 1 species
GAUGAACGCUGGCGGCGUGCCUAAUACAUGCAAGUCGAGCGAAUGGAUUAAGAGCUUGCUCUUAUGAAGUUAGCGGCGGACGGGUGAGUAACACGUGGGUAACCUGCCCAUAAGACUGGGAUAACUCCGGGAAACCGGGGCUAAUACCGGAUAACAUUUUGAACCGCACGGUUCGAAAUUGAAAGGCGGCUUCGGCUGUCACUUAUGGAUGGAACCGCGUCGCAUUAGCUAGUUGGGGAGGUAACGGCCCACCAAGGCAACGAUGCGUAGCCGGCCUGAGAGGAUGAUCGGCCACACUGGGACUGAGACACGGCCCAGACGCCUACGGGAGGCAGCAGUAGGGAAUCUUCCGCAAUGGACGAAAGUCUGACGGAGCAACGCCGCGUGAGUGAUGAAGGCUUUCGGGUCGUAAAACUCUGUUGUUAGGGAAGAACAAGUGCUAGUUGAAUAAGCUGGCACCUUGACGGUACCUAACCAGAAAGCCACGGCUAACUACGUGCCAGCAGCCGCCGUAA